rnacentral:rRNA from 1 species
AUUGAACGCUGGCGGCAUGCCUUACACAUGCAAGUCGAACGGUAACGGGCCCUCGGGUGCCGACGAGUGGCGAACGGGUGAGUAAUACAUCGGAACGUGCCCGAUCGUGGGGGAUAACGAGGCGAAAGCUUUGCUAAUACCGCAUACGAUCUACGGAUGAAAGCAGGGGACCGCAAGGCCUUGCGCGGACGGAGCGGCCGAUGGCAGGUUAGGUAGUUGGUGGGAUAAAAGCUUACCAAGCCGACGAUCUGUAGCUGGUCUGAGAGGAUGAUCAGCCACACUGGGACUGAGACACGGCCCAGACUCCUACGGGAGGCAGCAGUGGGGAAUUUUGGACAAUGGGCGCAAGCCUGAUCCAGCCAUGCCGCGUGCAGGAUGAAGGCCUUCGGGUUGUAAACUGCUUUUGUACGGAACGAAAAGCCUUCUUUUAAUACAGGAGGGUCAUGACGGUACCGUAAGAAUAAGCACCGGCUAACUACGU